GACGAACGCUGGCGGCGUGCCUAAUACAUGCAAGUUGAGCGCUGAAGGUUGGUACUUGUACCAACUGGAUGAGCAGCGAACGGGUGAGUAACGCGUGGGGAAUCUGCCUUUGAGCGGGGGACAACAUUUGGAAACGAAUGCUAAUACCGCAUAAAAACUUUAAACACAAGUUUUAAGUUUGAAAGAUGCAAUUGCAUCACUCAAAGAUGAUCCCGCGUUGUAUUAGCUAGUCGGUGAGGUAAAGGCUCACCAAGGCGAUGAUACAUAGCCGACCUGAGGGGGUGAUCGGCCACAUUGGGACUGAGACACGGCCCAAACUCCUACGGGAGGCAGCAGUAGGGAAUCUUCGGCAAUGGACGAAAGUCUGACCGAGCAACGCCGCGUGAGUGAAGAAGGUUUUCGGAUCGUAAAACUCUGUUGGUAGAGAAGAACGUUGGUGAGAGUGGAAAGCUCAUCAAGUGACGGUAACUACCCAGAAAGGGACGGCUAACUACGUG
rnacentral:rRNA from 1 species